GGGGCUGGCUUUGAACUUGCAAUCCUCCUGCCUCAGCUUCCCGAACUGCUGGAAUUACAGGCAAGCACCACCAUGCCCGCUGAUAUAAAAUGUCUUUUGGUGUCACAAUCUAAACUAGGGGGUUUGUUGAGAGUGUUGGGUGCAGAGCAGGCUGAAAUGUGUUGUCUGCAGGGCAGGCUGAACAGAUGUUGGCUGCAAGAUAGCCCACGCACUCAAACCCCCCUCUAUCUGGUCCUUUAUCACCUGUUUGCCUCAAGUCUCAACAUUCAACCCUGCUCAAGGCUGAACACUUAACCCCCCCUUGGGCCAACAAGGCAGCUUGCAGACUCAGAGGCCCCAUUAGAUUUGGGCUAUAAAAACUCCCUCCUGCCAGGCCCCCCUCUCUCUUGCUCUUUCUCUCUUGCUCUCUCUCUCUUGCUCUUUAUCUUUCUUACGCGCGCUCUCUGUCUCUCUCUUGCUCUUGCUCUCUCCCUGUUCAUCUCUUCUCUUUUCUCUCUCUCUCUUUCCUUCUUUCCUUUCUUUUUGUUGCACUGCUGCAAUAAAGAUCUUUUGGUUGCUCUGAGUGUUGUGGUCACUUUCCUUCAUUGGUGCCGAAACCCGGGAGAGGGUUAAAACCCACUUUUGGGUCCCUCUUCCUUCGGAAAUGCCACUCACUGGAUGGCCUGAACCCAGGCCUGAACCCAUUUUCUCGACUGCCAGAACUCCAUCCACCACCAGCCUUCGAUUGAAGUUCAUGCAAGAUCAGAUACACAAAUUCACCAGCAAGCUGGUCAAUCAACUACUUCUUUAAGACUACCAGCCCUGAUGCCCAAGAUGGACACCUACGACUCAUGACCAACUCCUCUGGCUCCAGAGACUCUGUGCCCAUCUAAAACCCUCUCUAACCCUUUUUCCAAUUUUCACAACCCCUCUUUCACUUCCUAGGAAUGAGAACUACUCUCCAGCACGUCCACUCUGCUUAUUCUGUCUGCUCUACAGUAUCCCCACAAGGAAGCAUCAAACCUAAACUCCCCCUGGUACCACCAUGUCUCCCACCUUAAAAAGGCACUUGUUCCAAAUGUCCAGUCCUGGACUUCCACCAUGCCCACCAAACUCAAAAUUUCUUGCCAACCCUCUUCUUCUUUUACUAAACAUUAUUCUCUCUCAAGUUUUUAUCUCAAACCACAAGCGACAUGACACCACCCACUCUCAGUUUAUGGGUUAAGGCGAUUGCCCUUCCACUGGCUGCAAUCAGGCUGUCACUCUUAACAUUACUGGAUUCAACCAAGCCACCUCCAAUACUUCCUAGAGUCCCUGCUACAGGACAAGUGGCCGAUACCAAGAAUCUCCUCCAUCCAGGACUGGUUUGAUGCCAUUGAGGACUUGUGGCUUCAAGGAACUUUUAUGGACUUUACCCCUACCACAGUAGUUGUCUGUAGCCACUGAGUGUUAUUUCUGCUCUGGUGUUCUCAGACCUGUCCCCCGAACAUUCCUCCACUUCCCCUUCUAGGUCCAACGCCGUCCCCCAUGUCACUUAGAAAACCAAAAAGGGAGGAAUGUUGGGUGCAGAGCAGGCUGAACUGUGUUGUCUGCAGGGCAGGCUGAACAGAUGUUGGCUGCAAGAUAGCCCACGCACUCAAACCCCCCUCUAUCUGGUCCUUUAUCACCUGUUUGCCUCAAGUCUGAACAUUCAACCCUGCUCAAGGCUGAACACUUAACCCCCCCUUGGGCCAACAAGGCAGCAUGCAGACUCAGAGGCCCCAUUAGAUUUGGGCUAUAAAAACCUCCCUCCUGCCAGGCCCCCCUCUCUCUUGCUCUUUCUCUCUUGCUCUCUCUCUCUUGCUCUUUAUCUUUCUUACGCGCGCUCUCUGUCUCUCUCUUGCUCUUGCUCUCUCCCUGUUCAUCUCUUCUCUUUUCUCUCUCUCUCUUUCCUUCUUUCCUUUCUCUUUUUUGCACUGCUGCAAUAAAGAUCUUUUGGUUGCUCUGA